UACAUACUCCCUCCGUCCGGAAAUACUUGUCUAAGAAAUGGAUAAAAUGGAUGUAUCUAUAACUAAAAUAAGUCUACAUACAUCCAUUACUAGGACAAGUAUUUUCGGACGGAGGGAGUAUAAA
rfam:Triticum urartu cultivar G1812 contig711891, whole genome shotgun sequence.